UCAAGUUAAUCUUAAAGUUAAGACUUUCAUUUACACUGAAAAUAGAAUUCGUGCAAUUCGAUAUAACUUGAA
rnacentral:tRNA from 1 species